UACGUAGGGGGCAAGCGUUGUCCGGAGUUACUGGGCGUAAAGCGCACGCAGGCGGUCUCUUAAGUUUGGAGUGACAGUUGGUGGCUUAACUGCCAAAGUGCUUCGAAAACUGAGAGACUUGAGGGCUGCAGAGGGACACGGAAUUCCGGGUGGAGUGGUGAAAUGCGUAGAGAUCCGGAGGAACACCAAAGGCGAAGGCAGUGUCCUGGGGAGUAACUGACGCUCAGGUGCGAAAGCGAGGGGAGCGAACAGG
rnacentral:rRNA from 1 species